rnacentral:lncRNA from 1 species
GACAGGGUAAAGGAUUCAGAGGGCAAAGCCAUCAGCCCAGGCACAGCCAGACUUUCCAUCUAUCCCACUCAACUUCUUGUCAAGUUUGGUUACCACCAAACCACAAAUCUGGAAAAAGAAAACCACAUGCCAAAUGAAGAAGACAAAAACAAGCCCUAUGAGCCUAAGUGUGAACCCAAGUGUUGUGUCCCAUGUCCUCCUCCUUGCCCUAAGCCUUGCCCACCUAAAUCCUGCCCACCACCAUGUCCUCCUCCUUGCCCACCUAAAUGCUGCCCAGCACCAUGUCCUCCUCCUUGCCCACCUAAAUGCUGCCCACCAAAAAGUCCCCCUCCAUGUCCCCCUCCUCCACCAUGCCCUCCUCCACCAUGCCCCCCACCAGAAUGAAAACCAUUGGAUAUUGACCUCCAACAUCAACACCACCAACAUCAUCAUCUCUGUCCAUCUUGGUGGGUGGGGUGCCUGUAAACUGAAGCCAUGAACUGACAAGUAAACGUGUUUCUCUGCUGUGCAACAAAAACAUGCCUUUUUCUGGUUGUUUUUGGUUUUUUGUUCUGCGUUUUUUUUUUGUCAUAAAUCAAAUUACGCAAGCCAAAUUACUUUGGGCCAACUUCUCCUUUCCAUUAGUCAACUCUUCCAAGAUUGGUCCUAGAUUACCAAUAAGCAGAAAGUAAUUCUAACUUAUGUUCCCCACACACACAGUGGAUUAUCCACUGGAAAAUUUCCACCUUGGCUCCUUUCAUAGUUGCUACCUUCCUGAGUCACACAAAACUCUGCCAGAUACUUGAAGUUCAUUCUGGGAAUGGCAUGGCAUGUCUGAAAAAGCAG